AUGACUGAUGCACAGCGACGACUAGCGUCUGUGAGCGCCACACAUGGUGCAGCAGGCUCGGAGGGCAGCGGGUGCGUCAGGCUCGGCAAGCAGCGGGUGCGGUGGUCAAGGCUAGGGGCGCGGAUUGGGGAGAUGCGCACACGAGGAGCGACGGCGACCACGUCUGCCGCCAACACCGAGGUAAAUGAUGUUGCACAACAAAAUACAAUUGCCUUUGUGUCUUACAUAACUCAUUUUUGUGUAUUCAAGCCAUACUGCCAGUACAUUCCAAGUGGAAUGGAGUACCCAGUUUUGUCCAGAAAGUUGAGGCCUUCGGGUGCUGCCGGAGGGGAAAGAGCAGAGGAUCCGAGAGGCGAAGCAACCGGGGGAGCCGGAGAACACGACCCCUGUCCUAUGUACGGCCAUAUCCCCCACGGAUUCUACAAGGACCAGAUGCAAGGUUUCUUUCAGGAGCUUGGGGCUAUUAAGAAGAGGGUCAGUAUUGUCUGGAACCGCAAGGUAUUCUAUACUGCGUUAAAGAUAUCUGGUAAUAUAGAAUCUCGCAUAGCUGCGACACCUUCGCCUUAUAAUAUGGCUAAAUCGGUAUGCUUUGUAGAACAUACUGCCCAUAAUUUAAAGCACUUUUUUAUGGCCUUGAGUAAAAAUUCAGUCGUUGUUGGCUGGAAGACAUCUUCAAUACGCCGUCAACACGAGCUUCCCAAGUGUAGGUUGGCGUUGAAGCCUGAUGGCGUUUUUCUUGCAGCAAAUCUUGGCAGGAAGACUCUGAAGUGA
rnacentral:rRNA from 1 species